GUAAUGUUGUUCAGUGCCAGAUUCAGGUACUCCAGUUCCUUGAGUCUCUGGACGUUUUCAAUUUUCUCUGUAGGAAUCGCCAACACGCAUCCGUUUCUCUUCUUGUGGAAGCCUGCCUACGCAGUUAUACUGAAAAGUAACUUCAUGUGAGUGAAGCCACUUUCCUGCUUCUUCCGUUCACGGUAUUGAGGUGGUGCAACCGAAGGCGACAUCUGUUUAACACACAUUCAUCUGAGUUCGUUGUUCCAUAUCUCGACGGAGGGGAACAGGGCUAUUCUCUGCAAGGGUCUACGGCUUAACAAAGGCAUCUAUUACAGACAGUGUGGAGGAACGUAUGGACGAAUCCUGAGCUUUUGACACCGAACACAGACCUGCAAACGAUGGCCGCCAUACGAUCCGCGGUUCUGCGACAGGAGUCGCGCGGAUCGGAAAAGGAGAGGGCGACAAGCACGAAAGCCCCGCGGCGGCUUCGAGCCGGUGUUUUCUAAAAGCCCCCUACCUAUAAUGUUGUUUUGUAGAAGAAGAAUUUUGAGAUGCUUGCACAGCUUGUCGACAUUCUCGAUUUUCUCGAUCUCGAACUGAUGGAGUGCGACUUCUUCCAGCUCAGACAGAAUACCGUCAUUGUGCUCGGACCGCUGUCGCAGGAGCUGUUCUGUGAUUCGCAUCUUGUGAGACAAAGCGUCGGUUUCACAGUCGUGGAAGAGAAGCUAAACAACUAGAUGCUCUGCACGCUGCUCUGUCUCGAUUCAGAUUGGCCCCAAGAACAGCUUGGCAGGGAAAUUGCGACGAUCUUUCUUUUUCCUGUCUAUGGAGUUUCUUUGUGCCUUCGGAGAAUGAAAGCCGAAAAGUAAGUCUCGCUUGUGUGAUGCUUUCAUGCGUGUCGUCUCGAUGUACCCGGGGUGUUUGGUGUCAAAGGAAAAUGGGGCAGCUGCUCCGUUGGCCACGCUGGCCCGUGUUUAUGUAGAGUUCUCGAAAACAUUCGACCGUCUUCAAAUAAAGCAAGGGUAAGGCUUGAUUUUCGGGAAAUCAAAUUUCGGGUGCACAUAACUGUGUCGAUUCCAACAAGAGCCUGCGUCUGCUACAUAGUUGAGUUAGAGCGUUGCUCCAGAAAUCACGUGUUCUGGUACCUUGUCUACAAGUUGAAGGAAAUGCCUUUUGCAGACAGCAUGUAGAGACCGGAAACCCGCGAAAAAGUGCAGUCUGAUUCAUUUGCGCGGCCUUAAUAAAAUUGCGUGUGUGUCACAAGCAAAGCGAUUGCUGUAUGAUUUGCGGGCGAACCCCCGAUCAGACGAAAGGUGCAUGCUCCAGCAAACAAAACUGAGGGCGUCCUGCUGAUAGAAAAGAGAGAGAGUCUAAAAAUCGAGAUUCUUUGCAUGCAGUGGCAGCCUGGUCACCGGCCUUUUGGUCCGUUCAACCCAGAGAAAAAGGCGUUACGACUUCCAGUGCCUCUGUAACCGCCACGUUUCCCUCCUGGUUUGCACUUGGCGAAUCGAACACGUUCGACAAUUGCGGUCUUAUUACAGAGAAGCCUCGUUUCUUUGUUCAGCUGCCCUCGCUUGGAGAGGACUUCUCUUUUUUCGAGUGUGAGGAGACCUGAACAAAACUGCGAAGUCUGACGCGUCCGCUCUUCGCCCGUUUUCAACGAAACCGGUUGUUGGAAAUCGCUUUAGGAUUUAUAAGGGGUCCUCAUAUUUGUGCGUGGGGCAGUUGAGUGCGUGAAAAACAAAUCGAUGCCUCACUCUCUCCACUAUUUAGGCGAUGUGACCUUUCUGAAGCAAGCGAUUCGUGCCGGCGUGCAGCACGCUGCGUCGGUCGUCAAUUGCAGUCCCGUGGCUCAAACGAAAUUCGAUAGCCGCGGCCCAGAAAUCCUCAAUUUCGCAC
rnacentral:lncRNA from 1 species